GAAUCCUGGUUACCAUGCUAUAUUUAAACAUCUAACAAGUCACAGUCAUUGAUCCUAUUCUUCUUGUACCAAGCGUGCAGACCAAGCGCACAAAGAUGAUGAGCUCGAGGUUGCUGAUCCUGGCUGUGGCCGUCACCUGCGUAGCGCUGACAAACGCAGACGCCUCGAUGGAUGAUGGUUACUAUGCUGUUGGAGAGAGAGCCCUAGAAGACAGAUACCCAAGAGAAUACUACCCAAGCAACUCAAGGGAUUCCGCAGAUGAUUACAAAUAUCAAUAUCAAGAACGACCAUACGAUCAGAAUGAUCUUCAGAUGGAGUUCGAUGGAAAUCUGAAAAUCUUUGGAAAUGGCGCCAACCGAGGACCUUUAGGCCAGACAAGCAGGCUGUAUAAUGUCCUUACUGGCUACGAGGGCUCAGAAGAUGGCUAUUAGCAUGACGCGUAUCACUUUGGAGAGGCAUCUGAUACCUGAUACCCGAUAUCCUUUCAUCUGAUGACCACUGCUUGUAACGGGACAAUGGGAAUAUAUGAUUUUGUAUCCGUCA